rnacentral:rRNA from 1 species
AUGAACGCUGGCGGCGUGCCUAAUACAUGCAAGUCGAGCGCACAGACGAGGAGCUUGCUCCUCUGACGUUAGCGGCGGACGGGUGAGUAACACGUGGAUAACCUACCUAUAAGACUGGGAUAACUUCGGGAAACCGGAGCUAAUACCGGAUAAUAUAUUGAACCGCAUGGUUCAAUAGUGAAAGACGGUUUUGCUGUCACUUAUAGAUGGAUCUGCGCCGCAUUAGCUAGUUGGUAAGGUAACGGCUUACCAAGGCAACGAUGCGUAGCCGACCUGAGAGGGUGAUCGGCCACACUGGAACUGAGACACGGUCCAGACUCCUACGGGAGGCAGCAGUAGGGAAUCUUCCGCAAUGGGCGAAAGCCUGACGGAGCAACGCCGCGUGAGUGAUGAAGGUCUUCGGAUCGUAAAACUCUGUUAUUAGGGAAGAACAAAUGUGUAAGUAACUAUGCACGUCUUGACGGUACCUAAUCAGAAAGCCACGGCUAACUACGUG